rnacentral:rRNA from 1 species
GAUGAACGCUGGCGGCGUGCCUAAUACAUGCAAGUCGAACGGAGAAUGUAGCAAUACGUUCUUAGUGGCGAACGGGUGAGUAACGCGUUGGUGACCUGCCCCGAAGAGGGGGAUAACAGUCCGAAAGGAUUGCUAAUACCUCAUGUUGUUGCCGGGUUUAGAAGCCGGUAACUAAAGGCGUAAGCCACUUUGGGAGGGACCUGCGUCCCAUCAGCUAGUUGGUGAGGUAACGGCCCACCAAGGCGAUGACGGGUAGGGGACCUGAGAGGGUGGCCCCCCACAAUGGUACUGAAACACGGACCAUACACCUACGGGAGGCAG